rnacentral:rRNA from 1 species
AUUGAACGCUGGCGGCAGGCCUAACACAUGCAAGUCGAGCGGAUGAAGGGAGCUUGCUCCUGGCUUCAGCGGCGGACGGGUGAGUAAUGCCUAGGAAUCUGCCUGGUAGUGGGGGAUAACGUCCGGAAACGGGCGCUAAUACCGCAUACGUCCUGAGGGAGAAAGUGGGGGAUCUUCGGACCUCACGCUAUCAGAUGAGCCUAGGUCGGAUUAGCUAGUUGGUGGGGUAAAGGCCUACCAAGGCGACGAUCCGUAACUGGUCUGAGAGGAUGAUCAGACACACUGGAACUGAGACACGGUCCAGACUCCUACGGGAGGCAGCAGUGGGGAAUAUUGGACAAUGGGCGAAAGCCUGAUCCAGCCAUGCCGCGUGUGUGAUGAAGGUCUUCGGAUUGUAAAGCGCUUUAAUUUGGGACGAAGAGCAUUAAGUUAAUACCUGGCUGUUUUGACGGUACCAUCAGAAUAAGCACCGGCUAACUUCGUG